UCAAAAAGAUUGGUGUUGAUUAAGAACUUUUAAUCACCGCAGAGCAUCUUGUGAGUCCGCAAGCGUAGGUAUCACCACCCUGCCUACUUCAGUUUGAAAGACGGUAGAGCCGUUGUAAUGUAAAAAUGGUGACUUAGAAUUCACGUCUCAAGGAUUCUCAAAGCAUUUACAUUGUUCACUUCUAUGGACUCCGGUAACCACUUAAUAUUAGUUGAAACGUGAAUUCAUCCUUCAUAUUAAUAAUACAAAAUCCAUCAUUGAAGAUGACAAUAAUGAAAACUACUUUUACGAUUUAAUUUCGCGUUUUUUAUUGUCAUUAAAUUAUUUCUGACGUUUUAAUGACUCCUCAGUUUUUGGGUGAUUGCAAACGACUAAAAUGUUAUUCGUCGACAAUUUUGAACAUCGUGCCCAAUUAUUACAACGUAGGAAACAAUAUAGUGGCAAUAAAAAACGCUAGAUUAAACAGUAAUUUUAACUUUCAGUGAAGCAGCGAUGUUGGUGUCAAAUGUCUCCAAUGACAUUUCAAUGCAAGAGAAAUUACGAAUCAACUUUUAGAUUUGGCUCAAGAUUAAGAUUAGUAAAUAAAUUGUCUAAACUGUUAUACUAAUAACAUGUGUGGUGUCUGGGAAUAUCUCGUGAUCUCUAAGACUUGUAAUGCUGCUUUCCGAAUCCUUAAUAAAGUUAAGAUUAUUUAAAAAUAAA